rnacentral:rRNA from 1 species
GACGAACGCUGGCGGCGUGCUUAACACAUGCAAGUCGAACGGAAAGACCCUGCUUUUGUUGGUUUCUCGAGUGGCGAACGGGGGAGUAACACGUGAGUAACCUGCCCUUGACUGUGGGAUAACUUCAGGAAACAGGGGCGAAUACCGGGGAGAAGCUCCUGCUGCGUGGUGGUGGUUGGAAAAUUUCGGCGGUUGGGGAUGGACUCGCGGGUUAUCAGCUUGCUGGGGGGGUAGUGGCGUAACAGGGCUUUGACGGGUAGGCGGCCUGGGAGGGGUAACGGCCACAUGGGGACUGCGAGAGGGACCAGAAUGCAACGGUCGGCAGCAGUGGGGAACAUUGCAGAACGGGGGGAAGUCUGAUGCAGAAACGCCCCGUGCGGGAUGACGGGUUUCGGGUGGUAAACAGCUUUGGAAUGUGACGAAGCGGGCGUGACGGUACCGGGUAAAGAAGCACCGGCUAACUACGUG